GGUCUUUCCCCAUGCUGUUCUCAUGACAGUGAAUAAGUCUUAUGAGAUCUGAUGGUUUUAUAAAGGGAAAAACCCUUUCGCUUGCUGUCAUUCUUCUCUUGCCUGCCAUCAUGUGAGACAUGCCUUUCACCUUCCGCUGUGAUUGUGAGAUCUCCCCAGCCACAUGGAACUGUCUUUCGAUACUGGAAAAUGCUGUGAUUCUGUGGACGCCUGAAGGAGCAGCAGCCCCGGGUAUCUGAUAAUAUGACAGAAUGACAGCUAUUGACUAGAGAGCUUAAUCCGUACCUGUUUACAGAAACCACUAUGGUGUCGCCCUGUCGCUGUUUGAACAUCACUAUGCCAUGGACCCUGUUGGACUGAACAGAGGAGGAUGAAUGUGGAAAUAAAGACAAAAGAGUAUAUUUGGAAGAAGGGGUCAGGGGCACCUUGCUCUUUGUGAACAAAGGCCCUGAGCCUUGAGCUUCCUUUGUAUUUACUGAGAAGAGAUAGCAAGAAGGGGGUCGUUGUCGGUCUGCUGCUUGCUCCAGAGCAGCCUUCCAAGACUGCAUUCCUUGAACAAUAGAUUCUAGAUGUCCCAGUAGAUAACCUGAAGGAGCUCAGCGCCAGGGAGUGAUUGCCCUCAGCAAACCUUCUGGUGGCCAGCACAGAGGAGAGUUUGCCCCUGCUCUGUAUUCAUGAUAAACAGUUUGCUGUUUGAUCAUAUUGCCUCAGUGGAAAUUCUGAGUUGGUCAUGAUUCUCCAGCCUCUGGCUCUCUACACUGAAUGGAUUCAACAAGAAAGUGGUUGAAUUUAUGCAACUGUCUAGUUAUUUAUAAUGAAACAAGCAAAAAUUAGCCAUAAAGAAGUGAAUUGGGUGAUGAUUGUAUAAAAGAUGUGAGUCUAGGCCAGGCAUGGUGGCUCUCGCCUGUAAUCCCAGCAAUUU
rnacentral:lncRNA from 1 species